CAGUUGGCAAACAAAACUGUCAGCGAGGUAAAGAGAAAACCUUUCCUGUGUUUUAAAAAAGAAUUAAACAAAACUUGUAAUGAGCCUUGGAAAAGAAACAAAAAUGAGAAGUGGUUUUCAUUGCAGGGGCAAUUUUGUAAACUCAUGUGCAGUACUUUGGACAGCUCUCAUGCUGUAAUUAAAAUGAACUGUCCAAAUAAAAUGGUAUGGUAUUACAACAUUUAGAAAUAUUUUGUAUGUAUUCUGAUGCUUCUGGUGUUUCAUAAUAAUUAAUAAUAUUUAUAUGAGGAUCUCUAUAAGUUCCUGAUAAAUUCUGUUGGUUCAUUUUCUAAGCAGAGGGACUGUAUAAUUUAAUAAUAAUUAGUCAUUAAUAAUCUAAUUUAAUAUGUACACAUCAGAGAUCACUACAAUACCCACUGGUAAACAGUUCCAAAUCUGAAGCCCGUGAGGACACUGUCCUACGUGGUUCAUAAAUGUCCUCAGUGAGAGACAUUAACAGACAAGAGGUUUGGCAAAGCGAGGCCACCUAAAUCUUAGCUUUUUUGCAAGAGGUUCUUUCAUAUUCGAAGUGACCGAAAAAGACCUUUAGGAAUAAGUACCAGAAUACAGAACCUCGUCUAUGGUCAUGAGCUUUGGUAGUGACUGAAAGAGCAAAAUUGCAGAAACAAAUGGCCGAAAUAAUGUAAACUUGUAAGCUACAGGCAAAUCGGACUGCAUCUGUUUUACUUUAUUUAUUUAACCUCUAUUUGACCAGAUGAGUCGAUUGAGAACUCAUUCUCAGUUACAACAACGGUCUGGCCAAGAGGCAGCAGCAGCAGACACAUUUACAUUCAGUGUGAAACAGGUUUAAGGCACAGCUUCCCUCUGUUCAUCCACCAGUUAAACCACAGCGACUUGCAAUCAUCAACCUUCCGUUUGUGAAACACACCCGUUACUUCAGUCACUAGAGGAAGUAAAAACAGUACAGAGACGAAGCACUAAAAUUCCAGUUUAUUUAUCUUUGUAUAGUGAUCAGACUUUUAUGAGUUAUUAUCAUGGUGGGAUUGCUGACUGAUGAAACAGAAUGUGUUAUUCUACCAGCGUGAAACAAUUACAAGUUGUGGAAACACAUAUUUUGAGUUGAUAAUGACCAAUGGCUGAACUCAGAAGCUGAAACUAUUCUAGAAAAAACUGUCAGUUUUCUGCAUGCUUGUCUGAACAUAAAGCUAAUGGUGGGAUGGCAUGGUCUGGCAACUUUGGUUGCAGGUUUUUGGUCAGCACAGUCAUUCAGUUUUCUCUCCCAUCAACAGUUCAGACAGUCAUGUUACUGUGUGUCAAGGAUCUGUAGAUCACAAUGGGUAGAGGAGGAUCCUUUAGUUUUAAUAUCAUAUUGGUGGUUUGCUCUGUAUGUUCAGAAUGCCCACUGAGAUCUUGGCUUCACACAACAUUUUUGGUUACUCAGAUCACCUCAACAGGUGCUCCAAGACCUGUCAAAACACAAGCUCGGAGGUGAUAAUGUCUUUGUUGAUGCUACUCCCACAUUCUAGCUACUUUUUCUUGCUGGGAACUGUUGUCUUUUUGCAGGAAACUCCAUUAAUAACAAAACCUCUUUUCUUUGGCUGUGAUUGUUGUGGUAUUUUUUUUACAUGUUUUACUGUUAUUUUUUAGCUUGUUAUAUUUUAUUUUGCUUUCUUUUCUUGUUUAUUUUUCUUGAAUGUAUAUCUGUGCCUUUGUGUUAAGCAGUUUGGUCAUUAUCAGACUUUUUAGGUGUUUUAUUAAUAACGUUGGCCAAGCUUGGUUUUCUAAAUUGACUUUUUACAAUAGAAGCACACGUUUUAUAAAAUGUGUGGUUACGUCCUGCAGCAGCUACUUCUACAUAUUUGUAAAUCCAAUUUCAAGUAAAUGGGAUUCUCAAAUAAAGAAGGAAUCCUUAUUGGGUUUAUUUCCCUAUGGGGAAAUGAUCUUGUGCCAACAAAGGCACACAUUUGUUUUAUCGGCAUAAAAACUCAACAGAAAUUGGACAACCAUGUUUCUAAAACAGGUUUCCUCAUCUGAUAAAAGGACAAAAGACUGCUUUCAAGAGAAUUGUUCAACUUCCUGGUAAGGCUUGCUUGCACGCACACACACACACACACACACACACACACACACACACACACGCACACACACACACACACACACACACACACACACACACGCACACACACACACACACGUACGCUUAUAUGCUUGUGUGGACCUCCAUUGACUUCUAUUCAUUUUAGUGACUCCACUAUGCCUCACCUGCAUUUCAAAGCAGGCCACAUUAGGUUCAACAUGUCAAACAGAAUCACACUUUUAUCUCCUAAUUUAUUAAGGCACUUACUUGGGUUAAUGUGGAUCGUACACAUUUUUAUAAACGAAAGCAUCAGUACAUUACCUAUGAGUUUAUAUGCACUCAUUGGCCACUUUAUUGGGUACAUCUGUUUAACUGCUCGUUAACGCAAAUUAAAAAUCAGCCAAUCACAUGGUGGCAACUCGAUGCAUUUAGACAUGUUGACAUGGUCAAGAUGAUCCACCGCAGUUCAAACCGAGCUUCAAAAUGGGAAAGAAAGCUGAUUUAAGUGACUUUGAAUGUGGCGUGGCUGUUGGUGCCAAGCGAGAUGGUCUGAGUAUUUCAGAAACUGCAGGUAUUCUGGGAUUACCUCACACAACCAUCUCUAGGGUAUACAAAGAAUGGUCCGAAAAAGGGAAAACAUCCAGUGAGCAGCAGUUCUGGGCAAAAAUGCCUUGUUGAUGCCAGAGGUCAGAGGAGAAUGCACAGACUGGUUGGAGCUGAAAGGCAACUCAAAUACUACUCGUUACAACCAAGGUAUGCAGAAGAGCAUUUCUGAAUGCACAUGUCGAACCUUGAGGCAGAAAGACUGCAGCAGCAGACCACACCGCGUGCCACUCCUGUCAGCUAAGAACAGAAACUAAGGCUACAAUUCACACAGGCUCACCAAGACUGGACAAUAGAAGAUUGAAAACAAUAGAAGAUUGAAAAAAUGUUGCCUGGUCUGAUGAUUCUUCAUUUCUUCUGCGUCAUUCUGCCUUGUAUCAACGAUACAGGCUGGUGGUGGAGGUGUAAUGGUGUGGGGGGCAUUUUCUCACUUUGGGCCUCUUAGUAAUAACUGAUCAUCUUUGUAACGCCACAGCCUAACUGAGUAUUGUUGCUAACCAUGUCCAUUCCUUUAUGACCACAAUGUUCCCAUCUUCUGUUAGCUACUUCCAGCAAGAUAAUGCACCAUGUCAUAAAGCUCUAAUCAUCUCAGACUGGUUUCUAGAACAUGACAAUAAGUUCACUGUACUCAAAUGGCCUCCACAGUCUCCAGAUCUCAAUCCAUCAGAGCACCUUUGGGAUGUGGUGGAACAGGAGAAUCACAUAAUGGACAUGCAGCUGACAAAUCUGCAGCACAUGCGUGAUGCUAUCAUGUCAAUAUGAACCAAAAUCUCUGAGAAUGUUUGCAGUGCCUUAUUGAAUAUAUGCCACUAAGGAUUAAGGCAGUUCUGAAGGCAAAAGGGGGUCCAACCCGGUACUAGCAAGGUGUACCCAAUAAAGUGGCCAGUGAAUAUGUGUGACAAUCUAAGCUGUGUUUAUGUGAAUCGUUUAUCAUGACCCGUUUUUAAAUCUUGUGCAUGUGACCAGGGAAAAGCUGUUGGCAGCAGCCCAGGUCCUACCACCGUCAGAGUCUGGGACCAUGCACACCCCUUCAACUGAUGGCCAAUAUAGGACAGCCCAAAGGAAUGGACCUGAGCCCAGGUAAGAAGGGGGGCCAGCUAGAGGUAGUCAGGGCACCAGCACCCGGCAAAAACAAACCCAUUUUGGGUCCUCAGACUGGAGCCCCCCACAGAUACAGGGCAAUCCAGAGGGAGAAUAAAAAUGACACCCUUGGAUACAAAAGAAUGGAACAAAACACAUCUCGUGGUCGUGGAAAAAAUGUUAGUCUGUUUGAGAAGGGUCAAAUCGUUGGCAUGCAUCAAGCAGGGAAAAUAUCUAAGGAGAUUGCAAAAAUUACAAAAAUUUGGUUAUGAACUGUCCAGAGCAUUAUUAAAAAUUGGUCCGAUGAGUCCAGAUAUACCAUCUUCCAGUGUAAUGGGCGCAUCACACAAGGGAUGGGUACCAAAUUUGAUACUUUUUAAGACACCAACCGAAUUCCAUUGUACCAACUGAGUACCAAUUCACGUCACGUGUGAAACAGUGCCUUGUUUUGGUACCCAUCCUUCAUAUCGAGAACUUGCGAGACAGUGAUUUGCCAAGAUAGAAAACAGUGCCGACGCAAGAGUGUAAUGUCGUCAGUCACUUUGGGCGAGCUGUAAACAGAGCAAGCAGCAUGGCAGAGAGGAAGCACUCUUAAGUUUGGGUUCACUUCAUUAAAUGGGGCGGGUAACUGGGUGAUGAUGAAACCAGCGACAACGAUCUGGCAUCAUCAUCUCAAUCUGCUCUGGUAGGUAUGUUUAAGAUAACGUUAGCUUGAUAUAUUAGCUUCCGUUCAGCUAAUGGUGCGUUCGCUUUCUCCUCGGAACUCAGAAAUUCUGACUAGAAGAAAGCAAGCAAACGCUCUCUAAAGUUUGGCUUCACUUCACUAAAUGCAAUGGGUGACUGGGUGAUGAUGAAACCAGGCACAACGAUCUAAAUGAAAUUCCAACUUCCAAGUAGGAAAAAUCAACAGUUUGAAAAAGAACUGCAAAAGGCUUGAAGAUACAGGGUGACUGCUGUUCCCACUGGGCCAGAGCUGCCCCGGUCAUAAAAUGUAUGUGGCAACCCUCUCCUUUACACACCGACAACUACCUACAUCUGG